rnacentral:rRNA from 1 species
UCAACAUAAAUUAAUUAAAAUUAUUUUUUAAGUAAAAAAAUCAAAUAUUCUCAAAAGAAGCAGAAGAACCCCAUAGAAUUUAAUAUUUAAUUAAUUAAUAAAUAUUAUUAUUAUUAUUAAUAUAUAUAUAUAUAUAUAUAUAUAUAUACAUAUUAAUUUAAAUUAAAUAUUUAAUUGGGGCAAUUUUUAAAUUAAAUAAACUUUAAAAUAUUUUUUACAAAAAUAAUUGAAAUUAAAUAUAUUCUUAUAUAUAAUAUAAUAAAAUUAAUUACCUUAGGGAUAACAGCAUAAUAUUUUUUUUUAGACCAAAUAAAUAAAAAAGAUUAUGACCUGCGUAUGUUGAAUUAAGAAAAAAUUAAAUAG